UACGGGGGGAGCAAGCGUUGUUCGGAUUUACUGGGCGUAAAGGGCGCGUAGGCGGCCACCGCAAGUCGGUUGUGAAAUCUCCGGGCUUAACCCGGAAAGGUCAAUCGAUACUGCGGGGCUAGAGUGCAGAAGGGGCAACUGGAAUUCUCGGUGUAGCGGUGAAAUGCGUAGAUAUCGAGAGGAACACCUGCGGCGAAGGCGGGUUGCUGGGCUGACACUGACGCUGAAGCGCGAAAGCUAGGGGAGCGAACGG
rnacentral:rRNA from 1 species